rnacentral:lncRNA from 1 species
UCCUAAUGCUUAAAAAAUAUAUCAAAUGGAUAUUCGACUAAUAGAUGAUUCUACAAGUACUAUCGAACGAUCGAUUUAUCGAUUGAUAUUUGAUAGUUAAAUAAUUACUCUACAACAUUCAAACACAUAGAAAAGAGAGUCUAUACUUAGAAAAAAUUCUUUCCAUUCAUUGAAAAAAGAAGAUUACAAAAUUGGAUCGAAGUCUAAUUACAAAAGUAUUUGAUUACAAAAAGAAAAAUAAAAGAUACACCGAUCACAACUCGUCGUCCCC